AUAUUUCUGUAGCACUAUAUAGUAUACAAACUCUUUUGCCUAAAUUUUAUUGGAUACUUUUGACUCUUCUUAGAGGGUUGCAAGUAUUUCCUCUUCUUAACAGAUGAGUAAAGAGUGCCUGGAACUUGUUUAAGCUCACUCGUCUGGAAAGAAGUGGAGCUGGAAGGCAAAUCUAGAUAGUUCUACUUUAAGAAUAAACAAUAUCUGAAGAUACAAAAUGGAUGGAAAGAUGAAUUUAAUUCUGGGCUUUACUAAAAGAGUUUAUUAUUUGUGUAUAUUAACCAGAGAUUUAACUUGCAGCAGUGUGAUUUAUAUUGUCCAUUGACAUUGUACUGGAUGAGAAAGUUCCUUUUUGUAUUUUUAUAUAUUGAGACUUUAAGAAAAGUAACUUGUGGAAGUUCUCAUUUUGGCUCAUCAGUUCACAAACCCUACUAGUAUCCAUGAGGAUGCAGAUUUGAUGCCUGGCCUCACUCAGUGGGUUAAGGAUCUGGCGUUGCCCUGAGCUAUGGUGUAGGUUGCAGACGGGGCUCAGGUCUGGCGUUGCUAUGGCUGUGGCAUAGACUGACAGCUGCAGCUCCAUUUUGACCCCUAGCCUGGGAACUUCCAUAUGCCACAGAGGCAGCCCUAAAAAGAAAAAAAGAAAAAAAGAAAGGUAAUGUGUAACUUGUAUAAAGUUAUUUGCCCAAGUUAACAAGUGCUAAUAAAAUUUGUAAGUUAGCUUCAUACUGGACAGAGUGCUGUAGAUACAGAAACUGAUUCGAAUGACUGUUUUCUCAAUUCUGUGUAGUAUAGUAUGUAAUUAGCAUCAUUGUAAAUGCGUAAGAGAGAAGUUUAUCUAUUAGAUACAAAGGAUGCUUUAGGGAAUAGAUCAGCAAACCUGUAGAGCCAAAUCUAGCCAAAGAACUAAGAAAUUUUUUUAUAAGAAUGUUUUUAUGUUUUUAAAUCAUUGUAAAGUAGAAUAAUAUUUAUGUGAAAAUUAUAUGAAAUUCAAAUUUCAGUGUCCACAUAGUUUCAUUGGAACACAGAAUUGAGUAGUUGUGACGGAGACCAGGUGGUCUGAAAAGCCUAAAAUAUUUACAGAGAAGGUUUGCCAACCUGUGCCUUAGGAUAUUAGUGCUUAAUUCUUUACUGUGGAACCUCAGUCGAGAGAAAGGCUAAGUUUACUAAUGAAGACACUUGUUUGAUUGCUGCAGUAUUCUUUGUAUUUAAGGGGGAGGGGCGGUAUCACAACUGUUUUGAGAGUUUGAUCCUUUCUUUGCUUGAGAAUGAUGUUCUUUGUCACUUGGCUUUGACAGUUGCAGCCUCUGUUGGGCACCCAGGUUUUAUUUAGUUCUAAUGUGCUGAGUUUGACUGAUCCAUUGUUUUUGACACUUUGAAAAGCACUUUUUUUAAUGGCUUACGUUGAGAUUUGCUUUUGAGGAGCUACUAAUUGGCGUUCCAAACUGGACAGAUUGAGGCCAGGUAAAGCCUGUAGGUGCCUGUCAGACAGCAGUGAAGUUAAAAAUCACCUACUGUCAACAUUAGGGAAUUUUACUAUCAUGUUCAUUUUUGAAUAAGUGAAGGAUCAUUAGAUUCCUGGAGUUGCAGCACUGAAGGGGGAAACUGGGUAGUUUGCCUCUGUGGAAUGUUCUCUUUGUUUCUAUAGUCUAAUCAUGAAUUACUCUCUGCUAACUCUCUGUUUCUGACUUUGGUUAAAAAUCAGUUCUCUGAUAAGUUUUUAAUUAGGAAGUGCAGAAAUAGAACUGCUUGAGUUGCCAUAACUUAAACUAGCCAUGGAACUUUUAAACUGGAGAAAGAGCUUAGAAAGUGAGUUUAUCAAUGAAGACUUAUUUGGAAAAAACAGAGGAGGCAUGUUGUUUGCUGCCUUAAUGCUGGUCGUUUUGUAUUGUAUGAAUCCAAAGACAGUUAUAGAUGGGGAUAAAAACUGUUGAGAAAGCUGUUGACUUCUUUCUUUAAACUUCUAUUUUGUGUGGAACUUUAUAACUUUUUUUUUUUUUUUUUUUUGUCUUUUGUUGUUGUAAUUUCUUGGGCCACUUCCGCGGCAUAUGGAGGUUCCCAGGCUAGGGGUUGAAUUGGAGCUGUAGCCACCGGCCUACGCCAGAGCCACAGCAACGCGGGGUCCGAGCCGCAUCUGCAACCUACACCACAGCUCACGGCAACGCCGGAUCGUUAACCCACUGAGCAAGGGCAGGGACCGAACCCGCAACUUCAUGGUUCCUAGUCGGAUUCGUUAACCACUGCGCCACGACGGGAACUCCCGGAACUUUAUAACUUUGACCUAGUUUUGACAGUGAGGUUCUUCAACAUCUUCUUUUCCUAUAGAAGUAGAUCUUUUUUUUUUUUUGUCUUUUUAGGGCCACACAGCAUAUGGAGGUUCCCAGGCUAGGGGUCUAAUUGGAGCUGUAGCCAGUGGCCUACACCACAGCCACAGCAAUGUCAGAUUCCAGCUGCGUCUGCCACCUACACCACCGUUCACGGCAACGAUGGAUCGAUCUUCAGCUCACUGAGUGAGGCCAGGGAUUGUGCUUCCUAGUUGGAUUUGUUUUCCCUGCACCAGGACGACAACGGGAACUCCCUAGAAUGUUUUAUUAUUCAGGUAAUUAAAAUAAAUUGCCUUGUAAACUGAAGGAAUUAACUCAGAUUCUACAUUCCUACUGCCCUUCAGCAGUAGCAGCAAAUGGUAAAUGGCCAAAGUUGCAGUGGAGAUGAGGGAGUACAGGUUCUCCAUAUCCCAGAGGCAGAGCUGUCCUUUUAGAGUUGCUUUGUGAUGGUUCUUCUUUUUUUUCCGGUCUGCCUUCUUCUUCCCCUUCUUUGGGGGAAGGGGAGUGGUAAGUAAUUUGUAAAUACCUAUCUUCCCCAGAUGAUUGUGUGUCUCCCCUGCUCCCCACUUUUGGCUGGUAGGUGCUGCGGCUUGAUGUGGGAUCUCAGUUCCCAGACCAGGAUUAAACCUGGGCCUAGUGCUGAAAGCGCCAAGUCCUAACCACUAGACAACCAGGGAACUCCCCAGUUUGUCUCAUUUAGUAAUUUAUGCUUGUUUAAAACUUCAUCAGAUUUAAGAUGAACUGGAGUUGUGACAGUAGCAGGAACUUGUCCUUGAAGGAUAGCUGAUGGACUUACUGAAGUUUCUUGUGGGAGGGGUUAUGAUGGUCCCAAGGAAAGAAAAAAACUUUCUGGGUUCUGCCACCCUCUCCCUUCCUUUCCCGUAGUCUGGUCUGGUUGUCUCUUUCUUUUUUUUUUUUUUUUUUUUUUUGUCUUUUUGCCAUUUCUUUGGGCCGCUCCCGCGGCAUAUGGAGGUUCCCAGGCUAGGGGUCGAAUCGGAGCUGUAGCUGCCAGCCUACGCCAGAGCCACAGCAACACAGGAUCUGAGCUGCGUCUGCGACCUACACCACAGCUCACGGCAACCGGAUCGUUAACCCACUGAGCAAGGCCAGGGAUCGAACCUGCAACCUCAUGGUUCCUAGUCAGAUUCGUUAACCACUGCGCCACAACGGGAACUCCUGGUUGUCUCUUUCUUUGCCAUAUCCCUUCCUUUGCUCCUCCGUGCGGCUGUAAAGUGGCUAUGUUGUGUCUCAUCCACAAGUUGAGCAAUGGAUCAUGAGAGAGAACACCUGCAGUCAAGCUGGGCACAGCCCCAGUAGGUUUACUACUUUGUUAGGGGCUUGCUCCUAGCCCUUGAGUAUCAUAUUGAAAG
ensembl:lncRNA